CCCCAGAGCCUGGCGGGAGGGGGUCCCUGAGGGUGGGGUAUUCAGAUAUGUGAUAAAAGUAUCUAAAUCUGCCAGUCCAAAUAAAAAAUAUAGCCUCUAUGAAACGGCGAUAGCAUACUAAGUUCGCCCCCCAGGGAUGCCCCUGAUAUACAAACUGUUCCUCCCAAUAUGCCAUGAACUUGGUGCCCAUCGCCGUUCCCCUAAU